rnacentral:lncRNA from 1 species
CGUUACAGCCAAGGCAAGGAAGGCCUUAGCCGGCCUAAUGACUGCGGCGCUGAUGGGCUGGCGGCAGCUACCACUGACAGAGGCAGACCUCGGCGGCCUGGCGGUGCCAGAUGCGCUGCUGGCUCGUGCCAAUGCCACUGUGGCGCCCUUGGUGGCUGCGUGGACGGCCCGUGGCAUCUGGCCUAUCCAGCGCGGCAGCCGGGGCCUCCUGCAGCGUGAGCCGCUCUGCCUGGUCAGUGCUGCUGCCGACCUCCUGUGUGGCCUGCAGCCCAUCCGCAGGUGUGCAGUCCUGGGUGUACAUGCGUAUCCCUUUGCAUGCUGGUAUGUGUGCAGAGGCCCAGAGGUCGUGUGUGCGCAAUCGUGCAGGUGGUUGGCCACUGUCUACGAGCGGCUAAAGACGGCCAAUCCACCUGCGCCACCGGGUGAGGUGCAAUCAGCCAACUUCGCCAUGAAGCGGGCGCAGACGUACGCGCUGAUCAUCGAGGCCAGCAGCAUGCCGCUGCACAUCCCGCUGACCAACACCAUCAUCCAG